GCAGAGAAGCUGUGAGUCUGUUCAGCAGGAGGAAGAGGAGCUGAGAGCUUCAGGGAGGAGCUGAGCUGUUACUGAACUAUAGAAGAGACACAAACUUCCACAUUCAACACAGUUCAAACAUUAACUCUGAUCAUCAUGGACUAUUAUGGACUUUCUCUGCUGGUCGCCUCUCUGCUAACAGGAAUCCGCUGUGAAGGACUGACUGCGGUAAAAACAGAGAUCUCCAGCUUAGAGGGCAGCUCUGUCACUCUGUCCUAUAAUUAUCCCAACCUGCAAACUGGAGAUUAUUUCUUCUGGUACCGUCAGUAUCCAGGAGAACCUCCAGAGUUUCUGAUCUCUCACUCUGCUUCAGGAGUUGAAGGAGUUAAAAAUGUUCCUGAACUGAAGAUUGAAGUGAACAAACCCCAGAUCGACCUGCUGAUCUCCUCUGCUGCAGUGACAGACUCUGCUGUGUACUACUGUGCUGUGAAGCCCACAGUGACAGGAAACAUCAGAACUCUGUACAAGAACCUGCAAUACUCCACAACAUCCACUAGAGGGCCUCACACACUAUUCCUCCUCUAUGGUUUGUUAGGAUUCAGUCUGAUUGUUUGUGCAGCUGAGAAUAAAGCAGACAUCAGAGUGUUUGCUGCAUCAUUGAACUCUAUGAUGAGAAGGUUUGGAUCAUAAAGGAGGGAUGAUGGAGGCUCCAGGAUGGAAGUGCAGCCUCUGCAGGACAUCAGCACCAUGGACAGAGUUCUGUUCCACCAUCUAGAUGUGUUUCAGUAUAGUUCUGCUCUGAUUUUCUUCAUAGAGUUUUAUGUACAUCUUGUGGACACAUAGCUCUACUUUGAAACUAUUUUCU